rnacentral:rRNA from 1 species
GCAAGUCGAGGGGUAACAGGAGAGCUUGCUCUCGCUGACGACCGGCGCACGGGUGCGUAACGCGUAUGCAACCUACCCAUAACAGGGGGAUAGCCCGGAGAAAUCCGGAUUAACACCGCAUAAUACAUUAUAAUCGCAUGAUUUUGAUGUUAAAUAUUUAUAGGUUAUGGAUGGGCAUGCGUAAGAUUAGAUAGUUGGUGAGGUAAUGGCUCACCAAGUCAACGAUCUUUAGGGGUUCUGAGAGGAAGGUC